rnacentral:misc_RNA from 1 species
AGCAGCCGCGGUAAUUCCAGCUCCAAUAGCGUAUAUUAAAGUUGUUGCAGUUAAAAAGCUCGUAGUUGAAUUUCGGGAUCAAUAUGCUGGUCGUGCCAUUGGUACGUACUAGUAUUAUUGGUUUCUCCUUUCUGAUGAAUCAUGAUGUCAUUAAUUUGAUGUCAUGAGGAAUCAGGACUGUUACUUUGAAAAAAUUAGAGUGUUUAAAGCAGGCUCGCGCUUGAAUACAUUAGCAUGGAAUAAUGAAAUAGGAUGUUUGAUUCUAUUUUGUUGGUUUCUAGGAUUGACGUAAUGAUUAAUAGGGAUAGUUGGGGGCAUUAGUAUUCAAUUGUCAGAGGUGAAAUUCUUGGAUUUAUUGAAGACUAACUACUGCGAAAGCAUUUGCCAAGGAUGUUUUCAUUAAUCAAGAACGAAAGUUAGGGGAUCGAAGACGAUCAGAUACCGUCGUAGUCUUAACCAUAAACUAUGCCGACUAGGGAUUG